rnacentral:rRNA from 1 species
UACGAAGGGGGCUAGCGUUGUUCGGAUUUACUGGGCGUAAAGCGCACGUAGGCGGAUUGUUAAGUCAGGGGUGAAAUCCUGGAGCUCAACUCCAGAACUGCCUUUGAUACUGGCGAUCUUGAGUCCGGGAGAGGUGAGUGGAACUCCGAGUGUAGAGGUGAAAUGCGCAGAUAUCAGGAGGAACACCAAUGGCGAAGGCAGCUCGCUGGGACGGUACUGACGCUGAGGCGCGAAAGCGUGGGGAGCAAACAGG